AGUGAACGCUGGCGGUAGGCCUAACACAUGCAAGUCGAACGGCAGCACAGUAAGAGCUUGCUCUUACGGGUGGCGAGUGGCGGACGGGUGAGGAAUACAUCGGAAUCUACUUUUUCGUGGGGGAUAACGUAGGGAAACUUACGCUAAUACCGCAUACGCCCUACGGGUGAAAGCAGGGGAUCUUCGGACCUUGCGCGAUUGAAUGAGCCGAUGCCGGAUUAGCUAGUUGGCGGGGUAAAGGCCCACCAAGGCGACGAUCCGUAGCUGGUCUGAGAGGAUGAUCAGCCACACUGGAACUGAGACACGGUCCAGACUCCUACGGGAGGCAGCAGUGGGGAAUAUUGGACAAUGGGCGCAAGCCUGAUCCAGCCAUACCGCGUGGGUGAAGAAGGCCUUCGGGUUGUAAAGCCCUUUUGUUGGGAAAGAAAAGCAGCAGGUUAAUACCCCGCUGUUCUGACGGUACCCAAAGAAUAAGCACCGGCUAACUUCGUG
rnacentral:rRNA from 1 species